AUUGAACGCUGGCGGCAUGCCUUACACAUGCAAGUCGAACGGUGACAGGUCUUCGGAUGCUGACGAGUGGCGAACGGGUGAGUAAUACAUCGGAACGUGCCUAGUAGGUGGGGAUAACUACUCGAAAGAGUGGCUAAUACCGCCUGAGAACUACGGAUGAAAGCAGGGGAUCGCCAGACCUUGUGCGACUAGAGCGGACGAUGGAAGAUUGGGUAGUUGGUGGGAUAAAAGCUUACCAAGCCGACGAUCUGUAGCUGGUCUGGGAAGACGAUCAGCCACACUGGGACUGAGACACGGCCCAGACUCCUACGGGGGGCAGCAGUGGGGAAUUUUUGGCCAAUGGGCGCAAGCCUGAUCCAGCAAUGCCGCGUGCAGGAUGAAGGCCUUCGGGUUGUAAACUGCUUUUGUACGUAACGAAAAGCCCCGGGUUAAUACCCUGGGGUCAUGACGGUACCGUAAGAAUAAGCACCGGCUAACUACGUGCCAGCCGCCGCCGUAA
rnacentral:rRNA from 1 species